UACGGAGGGGGCUAGCGUUGUUCGGAAUUACUGGGCGUAAAGCGCACGUAGGCGGGCAUUUAAGUCGGGGGUGAAAUCCCGGGGCUCAACCCCGGAACGGCCUUCGAUACUGGGUGCCUGGAGUCCGAGAGAGGUGAGUGGAAUUCCGAGUGUAGAGGUGAAAUUCGUAGAUAUUCGGAGGAACACCAGUGGCGAAGGCGGCUCACUGGCUCGGUACUGACGCUGAGGUGCGAAAGCGUGGGGAGCAAACAGG
rnacentral:rRNA from 1 species